rnacentral:rRNA from 1 species
GGGGGGGGGGGGGGGGGGGGGGGGGGGGGGGGGGGCGGGGGGGGGGGGGGGAGCGGGGUGUCUUGGGCGGGGGGCGAAGGGGGGAGUGAGGCGGGAGGAACCUGCCUGAAAGAGGGGGACAACAGUUGGAAACGACUGCUAGUACCGCAUAAGCCCACGCCCGGGCAUCGGGUUGAGGGAAAAGGAGCAAUCCGCUUUGAGAUGGCCUCGCGUCCGAUUAGCUAGUUGGUGAGGUAACGGCCCACCAAGGCGACGAUCGGUAGCCGGACUGAGAGGUUGAACGGCCACAUUGGGACUGAGACACGGCCCAGACUCCUACGGGAGGCAGCAGUGGGGAAUAUUGCACAAUGGGGGAAACCCUGAUGCAGCGACGCCGCGUGGAGGAAGAAGGUCUUCGGAUUGUAAACUCCUGUUGUUGAGGAAGAUAAUGACGGUACUCAACAAGGAAGUGACGGCUAACUACGUG